rnacentral:rRNA from 1 species
GAUGAACGCUGGCGGCGUGCCUAAUACAUGCAAGUCGAGCGAACGGACGAGAAGCUUGCUUCUCUGAUGUUAGCGGCGGACGGGUGAGUAACACGUGGAUAACCUACCUAUAAGACUGGGAUAACUUCGGGAAACCGUAGCUAAUACCGGAUAAUAUUUUGAACCGCAUGGUUCAAAAGUGAAAGACGGUCUUGCUGUCACUUAUAGAUGGAUCCGCGCUGCAUUAGCUAGUUGGUAAGGUAACGGCUUACCAAGGCAACGAUGCAUAGCCGACCUGAGGGGGUGAUCGGCCACACUGGAACUGAGACACGGUCCAGACUCCUACGGGAGGCAGCAGUAGGGAAUCUUCCGCAAAGGGCGAAAGCCUGACGGAGCAACGCCGCGUGAGUGAUGAAGGUCUUCGGAUCGUAAAACUCUGUUAUUAGGGAAGAACAUAUGUGUAAGUAACUGUGCACAUCUUGACGGUACCUAAUCAGAAAGCCACGGCUAACUACGUG